rnacentral:misc_RNA from 1 species
GUUUUUGCAACCAGCUCAAUAGUCUAGUAUCUAGCUUCUGCUGGGCAGGGAAUGUAAGAAAAAGAAAACAUGUUGGGUGAGCUGGAGGAAAGCUACUAUUCCAAAAUUUCUUGGUGGGAUAGGGUUUAGGGAGUUUGAGAAUUUUAAUCUGGCUUGCCUUGCAAAAUAAGCAUGGAGAUUAAUCUCUAAUCCUUCUUCCUUGUGGGCUAGAGUGUUAAAAGGGGUGUAUUUUCCAAAUUCAGAAUUUUGGAAAGCACCUAAGAAAUGGAAAAGCUCAUGGAUGUGGCAAAGUAUCUUAGCUAGCCGUGAAAUCUUAAGGGCAGGAGUGAGAAUAAAUGUUGGGGAUGGUAG